UACGUAGGGUGCAAGCGUUGUCCGGAAUUAUUGGGCGUAAAGAGCGUGUAGGCGGCCUCGUAAGUCCGCUGUGAAAGUCCAGGGCUCAACCCUGGAAAGCCGGUGGAUACUGCGAGGCUAGAGUCCGGAAGGGGCGAGUGGAAUUCCUGGUGUAGCGGUGAAAUGCGCAGAUAUCAGGAGGAACACCGGUGGCGAAGGCGGGUCUCUGGGCAACAACUGACGCUGAGGAGCGAAAGCGUGGGGAGCGAACAGG
rnacentral:rRNA from 1 species